CUAACCUCAGUCUCCUCUACCACGGCCAGCACAAGGCCCAGCUGACAGAGGUGCUUGAUUUGAAUGAAGGGCAUUGAUUUGGGACCAAAUCUCCUGACUUGAGACGGUUGCAGACCCUUCAGACUGGAGUCUGAAGAUCCGGGGACAAGACUUGAAAAAUGCAGAGACCGGGGCCAGCUGUCCAUGGCGAGUGCCGAGUCUGUGGGAGGACGAGGACUUUCAGGGAAGACUCAAGACCUCUGUGGCCAGGAAAGAGCCUGACGUCCCAGGUCACUGAGGCCGGAGCCCUGUGAAGUGUGUUGUGCCCAGCUCUGGAAGCCGUUCCGUUUCUGUGCUGCAGUGGCGGUGGCCGCUGUUUUCCAGCGUGAUGGAUUGGGGGUCCCGCCUUCCUUCCCCAGCACAGACCAUGGAGUCCAAUCCAGCUGCUUCCUUUGAGCAGCUGCGGGAGUCCUUGGACUGAAUUUCCCAAGCACUGCUCUUGCUGUGGGUUUUGUUGGUGGUGCCUGUGGUCUCAGACAUGCCCGGAAGCUACUGAAAAUUAGUUGGCGUGUUAACGACAUUUGAUGCAUCAGUUGAUAGUAAAGUAAAAACUAAGUCUCGGCUUUGAGUUUAUGUUCUGCAGUUUUGUUGAAUUAUGUCCAGAUGGUUGUCGAGAGAAUUUUUCUUAACAGAUGAGGGCAUUUGCAAAAACCAACAAGUCUAUGGGGAGACAAAGAACUUCACGCUAAGGACUGUGGGACCUGAUGGCAUCUGAGCUGGAAAGGCCCUCAGUGGCUUCGAGGCCAGUCCUGGAUCCUUCUGUGGCUGUGCAGGAGCAGGGGGUGGCAUGCAGAUACGGCAAAAACGAAGAUGCUGAAGCUGGGAAAAUGUGGUUCCUGAUCUCAAAACCGUUUGCAAACUGUCCAGUCUGCUACACCGGCGGAAGAAACAUCAGUGCCUCAGGAAGGUGAAGCAGGGAACUGCAUCCAGCUGCCCAGGAACCCUAGCAUGUACCCAGACCGAGGCAA